rnacentral:rRNA from 1 species
UCGACUCCUACGGGGAGGCAGCAGUGGGGGAAGUAUUGCACAAUGGGCGCAAGCCUGAUGCAGCCAUGCCGCGUGUGUGAAGAAGGACCUUCGGGUUGUAAAGCACUUUCAGUCGUGAGGAAGGUAGUGUAGUUAAUAGCUGCAUUAUUUGUACGUUAGCGACAGAAGAAGACACCGGCUAACUCCGUGCCAGCAGCCGCGGUAAUACGGAGGGUGCGAGCGUUAAUCGGAAUUACUGGGCGUAAAGCGCAUGCAGGUGGUUUGUUAAGUCAGAUGUGAAAGCCCGGGGCUCAACCUCGGAAUUGCAUUUGAAACUGGCAGACUAGAGUACUGUAGAGGGGGGUAGGAAUUUCAGGUGUAGCGGUGAAAUGCGUAGAGAUCUGAAGGAAUACCGGUGGCGAAGGCGGCCCCCUCGGACAGAUACUGACACUCAGAUGCGAAAGCGUGGGGAGCAAACAGGAUUAGAUACCCUGGUAG